CCUACGGGUGGCAGCAGUGAGGAAUAUUGGUCAAUGGGCGCAGGCCUGAACCAGCCAAGUCGCGUGAGGGAAGACUGCCCUAUGGGUUGUAAAUUUCUUUUAGAAGGGAAGAAUAAUGACUAUGUGUAUUCAGAUGCCCGUACCUUACUAAUAAGCAUCGGCUAACGCCGUGCCAGCAGCCGCGGUAAUACGGAGGGUGCGAGCGUUAAUCGGAGUUACUGGGCGUAAAGCGCUCGUAGGCGGUAUGCCAAGUCAAGGGUGAAAUCCCUGCGCUCAACGUGGGAACUGCCUUUGAAACUGGCAAACUGGAGUGUGUGAGAGGAUAGUGGAAUUCCAGGUGUAGGAGUGAAAUCCGUAGAUAUCUGGAGGAACAUCAGUGGCGAAGGCGACUAUCUGGAACAUAACUGACGCUGAGGAGCGAAAGCGUGGGUAGCAAACAGGAUUAGAUACCCGUGUAGUC
rnacentral:rRNA from 1 species